UACAGAGGUCUCAAGCGUUGUUCGGAUUCAUUGGGCGUAAAGGGUGCGUAGGUGGCGCCGUAAGUCAGGUGUGAAAUUUCGGAGCUUAACUCCGAAACUGCAUUUGAUACUGCGGUGCUUGAGGACUGGAGAGGAGGCUGGAAUUCACGGUGUAGCAGUGAAAUGCGUAGAUAUCGUGAGGAAGACCAGUGGCGAAGGCGGGUCUCUGGACAGUUCCUGACACUGAGGCACGAAGGCCAGGGGAGCAAACGGG
rnacentral:rRNA from 1 species